rnacentral:rRNA from 23 species
UUAAAUUGAAGAGUUUGAUCAUGGCUCAGAUUGAACGCUGGCGGCAGGCCUAACACAUGCAAGUCGAACGGUAACAGGAAGCAGCUUGCUGCUUCGCUGACGAGUGGCGGACGGGUGAGUAAUGUCUGGGAAACUGCCUGAUGGAGGGGGAUAACUACUGGAAACGGUGGCUAAUACCGCAUAACGUCGCAAGACCAAAGAGGGGGACCUUCGGGCCUCUUGCCAUCAGAUGUGCCCAGAUGGGAUUAGCUAGUUGGUGAGGUAACGGCUCACCAAGGCGACGAUCCCUAGCUGGUCUGAGAGGAUGACCAGCCACACUGGAACUGAGACACGGUCCAGACUCCUACGGGAGGCAGCAGUGGGGAAUAUUGCACAAUGGGCGCAAGCCUGAUGCAGCCAUGCCGCGUGUAUGAAGAAGGCCUUCGGGUUGUAAAGUACUUUCAGCGGGGAGGAAGGUGUUGUGGUUAAUAACCGCAGCAAUUGACGUUACCCGCAGAAGAAGCACCGGCUAACUCCGUGCCAGCAGCCGCGGUAAUACGGAGGGUGCAAGCGUUAAUCGGAAUUACUGGGCGUAAAGCGCACGCAGGCGGUCUGUCAAGUCGGAUGUGAAAUCCCCGGGCUCAACCUGGGAACUGCAUUCGAAACUGGCAGGCUUGAGUCUUGUAGAGGGGGGUAGAAUUCCAGGUGUAGCGGUGAAAUGCGUAGAGAUCUGGAGGAAUACCGGUGGCGAAGGCGGCCCCCUGGACAAAGACUGACGCUCAGGUGCGAAAGCGUGGGGAGCAAACAGGAUUAGAUACCCUGGUAGUCCACGCCGUAAACGAUGUCUACUUGGAGGUUGUGCCCUUGAGGCGUGGCUUCCGGAGCUAACGCGUUAAGUAGACCGCCUGGGGAGUACGGCCGCAAGGUUAAAACUCAAAUGAAUUGACGGGGGCCCGCACAAGCGGUGGAGCAUGUGGUUUAAUUCGAUGCAACGCGAAGAACCUUACCUGGUCUUGACAUCCACAGAACUUUCCAGAGAUGGAUUGGUGCCUUCGGGAACUGUGAGACAGGUGCUGCAUGGCUGUCGUCAGCUCGUGUUGUGAAAUGUUGGGUUAAGUCCCGCAACGAGCGCAACCCUUAUCCUUUGUUGCCAGCGAUUAGGUCGGGAACUCAAAGGAGACUGCCAGUGAUAAACUGGAGGAAGGUGGGGAUGACGUCAAGUCAUCAUGGCCCUUACGACCAGGGCUACACACGUGCUACAAUGGCGCAUACAAAGAGAAGCGACCUCGCGAGAGCAAGCGGACCUCAUAAAGUGCGUCGUAGUCCGGAUUGGAGUCUGCAACUCGACUCCAUGAAGUCGGAAUCGCUAGUAAUCGUGGAUCAGAAUGCCACGGUGAAUACGUUCCCGGGCCUUGUACACACCGCCCGUCACACCAUGGGAGUGGGUUGCAAAAGAAGUAGGUAGCUUAACCUUCGGGAGGGCGCUUACCACUUUGUGAUUCAUGACUGGGGUGAAGUCGUAACAAGGUAACCGUAGGGGAACCUGCGGUUGGAUCACCUCCUUACCUUAAAGAA